UGCAGAGGUCCCAAGCGUUGUUCGGAUUCAUUGGGCGUAAAGGGUGCGUAGGUGGCGCCAUAAGUCAGGUGUGAAAUUUCGGAGCUUAACUCCGAAACUGCAUUUGAUACUGUGGUGCUUGAGGACUGGAGAGGAGACUGGAAUUUACGGUGUAGCAGUGAAAUGCGUAGAGAUCGUAAGGAAGACCAGUGGCGAAGGCGGGUCUCUGGACAGUUCCUGACACUGAGGCACGAAGGCCAGGGGAGCAAAUGGG
rnacentral:rRNA from 1 species